AGUGAACGCUGGCGGCAGGCCUAAUACAUGCAAGUCGAACGGCAGCACAGCAGAGCUUGCUCUGUGGGUGGCGAGUGGCGGACGGGUGAGGAAUACAUGGGAAUCUGCCCAGUCGUGGGGGAUAACGUAGGGAAACUUACGCUAAUACCGCAUGCGCCCUUCGGGGAAAGCCGGGGACCUUCGGCCUGGCGCGAUUGGAUGAGCCCAUGUCGGAUUAGCUAGUUGGCGGGGUAAUGGCCCACCAAGGCGACGAUCCGUAGCUGGUCUGAGAGGAUGAUCAGCCACACUGGAACUGAGACACGGUCCAGACUCCUACGGGAGGCAGCAGUAGGGAAUAUUGGACAAUGGGCGCAAGCCUGAUCCAGCCAUGCCGCGUGAGUGAAGAAGGCCCUCGGGUUGUAAAGCUCUUUUGUCCGGAAAGAAAAGCGCCGGGUUAAUACCCUAGUGUCCUGACGGUACCGGAAGAAUAAGCACCGGCUAACUUCGUGCCAGCAGCCGCGGUA
rnacentral:rRNA from 1 species